rnacentral:rRNA from 1 species
GACGAACGCUGGCGGCGUGCCUAAUACAUGCAAGUCGAGCGGAAGUUGAAGAGCUUGCUCUUCAACUUUAGCGGCGGACGGGUGAGUAACACGUGGGCAACCUGCCCUGCAGAUCGGGAUAACUCCGGGAAACCGGUGCUAAUACCGAAUCGUUUUCGCCACCUCCUGGUGGCGUACGGAAAGACGGUUUCGGCUGUCACUGCAGGAUGGGCCCGCGGCGCAUUAGCUAGUUGGUGGGGUAACGGCCCACCAAGGCGACGAUGCGUAGCCGACCUGAGAGGGUGAUCGGCCACACUGGGACUGAGACACGGCCCAGACUCCUACGGGAGGCAGCAGUAGGGAAUCUUCCGCAAUGGACGAAAGUCUGACGGAGCAACGCCACGUGAGUGACGAAGGUUUUCGGAUCGUAAAACUCUGUUGUGAGGGAAGAACAAGUACCAACUAACUACUGGUACCUUGACGGUACCUCACCAGAAAGCCACGGCUAACUACGUGCCAGCCGCCGCGGUAA